rnacentral:rRNA from 1 species
UUUGACCUCAAAUCAGGUAGGAAUACCCGCUGAACU